GACGAACGCUGGCGGCGUGCUUAACACAUGCAAGUCGAACGGAAAGGCCCCUUUGGGGGUACUCGAGUGGCGAACGGGUGAGUAACACGUGAGUAACCUGCCCUUGACUUCGGGAUAACUUCAGGAAACUGGGGCUAAUACCGGAUAGGAAUCCUUGCUGCAUGGUGGGGGUUGGAAAGCUUCGGCGGUUUUGGAUGGACUCACGGCUUAUCAGCUUGUUGGUGGGGUAGUGGCUUACCAAGGCUUUGACGGGUAGCCGGCCUGAGAGGGCGACCGGCCACAUUGGGACUGAGAUACGGCCCAGACUCCUACGGGAGGCAGCAGUGGGGAAUAUUGCACAAUGGGCGGAAGCCGGAUGCAGCAACGCCGCGUGCGGGAUGACGGCCUUCGGGUUGUAAACCGCUUUCAGCAGGGGCGAAGCUUGUGGUGACGGUACCUGCAGAAGAAGCACCGGCUAACUACGUG
rnacentral:rRNA from 1 species